rnacentral:lncRNA from 1 species
CUACUGUUUUUUUGUGGGUUUUUUUUUUCUUUUUUUGUCUCCAAAACCUCCAGGAUCCCUUUUUAUGGGAUGUGUGACUUUUUCCAUAAAGCACUCCAACAGAGCUGCUUUGAUCCUGCCUACCAGAAAGAUGACCCGCAGAUCCUCAAAGCUGUUUGCUCAGAAACAUCAGCACAAGCCACGGCAUCACUUUGCUCAGCUGAAAAGAAGAACUGAAGUUGUUCUGGGGUUUGCAGAGCCAAAGAAGCUUCAUUUCAUCUUAAUUUGUGGAAUCCAAGUGGAUCCUCUGAUGUCUGAUAAAGAAUUUCUGAGUACUUCAUCCAUUCUGAGAAAUCGUGGCCUUGGGAGACCACCAAAGGGACUUAAAGAUUGUAACAACAGGGUUUACCAUAUUAGAAACUAGAAUAAAAUUCUUACUUGCUCACCUUUUGCUGAGUGA